rnacentral:tRNA from 1 species
UUACUUUGGCAGAUUAGUGUAUUUGAUUUAGAAUCAUUUUAAGUAAAUUUUUUUACAAGUAAUAN